UUUUUUUUAGAGUUUGUAUCGUGCUCAGGACGAACGCUGGCGGCGUGCAUAAUACAUGCAAGUAGAACGCUGAAGAGAGGAGCUUGCUCUUCUUGGAUGAGUUGCGAACGGGUGAGUAACGCGUAGGUAACCUGCCUUGUAGCGGGGGAUAACUAUUGGAAACGAUAGCUAAUACCGCAUAACAAUGGAUGACCCAUGUCAUUUAUUUGAAAGGGGCAAAUGCUCCACUACAAGAUGGACCUGCGUUGUAUUAGUUAGUAGGUGAGGUAACGGCUCACCUAGGCGACGAUACAUAGCCGACCUGAGAGGGUGAUCGGCCACACUGGGACUGAGACACGGCCCAGAUUCUUACGGGAGGCAGCAGUAGGGAAUUUUCGGCAAUGGGGGCAACCCUGACCGAGCAACGCCGCGUGAGUGAAGAAGGUUUUCGGAUCGUAAAGCUCUGUUGUAAGUCAAGACCGAGUGUGAGAGUGGAAAGUUCACCCUGUGACGGUAGCUUACCAGAAAGGGACGGCUAAUUACGUGCCAGCAGCCGCGGUAAUACGUAGGUCCCGAGCGUUGUCCGGAUUUAUUGGGCGUAAAGCGAGCGCAGGCGGUUUGAUAAGUCUGAAGUUAAAGGCUGUGGCUCAACCAUAGUUCGCUUUGGAAACUGUCAAACUUGAGUGCAGAAGGGGAGAGUGGAAUUCCAUGUGUAGCGGUGAAAUGCGUAGAUAUAUGGAGGAACACCGGUGGCGAAAGCGGCUCUCUGGUCUGUAACUGACGCUGAGGCUCGAAAGCGUGGGGAGCGAACAGGAUUAGAUACCCUGGUAGUCCACGCCGUAAACGAUGAGUGCUAGGUGUUGGAUCCUUUCCCGGCGCAUUCUAGUGGCCGCAGCUAACGCAUUAAGCACUCCGCCUGGGGAGUACGACCGCAAGGUUGAAACUCAAAGGAAUUGACGGGGGCCCGCACAAGCGGUGGAGCAUGUGGUUUAAUUCGAAGCAACGCGAAGAACCUUACCAGGUCUUGACAUCCCGAUGCUAUUUCUAGAGAUAGAAAGUUACUUCGGUACAUCGGUGACAGGUGGUGCAUGGUUGUCGUCAGCUCGUGUCGUGAGAUGUUGGGUUAAGUCCCGCAACGAGCGCAACCCCUAUUGUUAGUUGCCAUCAUUCAGUUGGGCACUCUAGCGAGACUGCCGGUAAUAAACCGGAGGAAGGUGGGGAUGACGUCAAAUCAUCAUGCCCCUUAUGACCUGGGCUACACACGUGCUACAAUGGUUGGUACAACGAGUUGCGAGUCGGUGACGGCAAGCUAAUCUCUUAAAGCCAAUCUCAGUUCGGAUUGUAGGCUGCAACUCGCCUACAUGAAGUCGGAAUCGCUAGUAAUCGCGGAUCAGCACGCCGCGGUGAAUACGUUCCCGGGCCUUGUACACACCGCCCGUCACACCACGAGAGUUUGUAACACCCGAAGUCGGUGAGGUAACCUUUUGGAGCCAGCCGCCUAAGGUGGGAUAGAUGAUUGGGGUGAAGUCGUAACAAGGGAAAACCGACCGAAA
rnacentral:rRNA from 1 species